GCUGAUCUCUGGAGGGGGGAGGCAUCGAGAUGAGUGAGGAAUGAGAGUGCGUUUCGUCGGGAUCAUUCGGUCUGUGAGUGGAAGAAUAAAAGGUUGUGUCGUCAAAUCGCGUUUUGUUCAUCCUGCUCUCCCACUGACCUUAACAUGGUGCCGAAACCUCGGCGAAUCCUUGAGGCCUGAACCACCUGAUAUCGAGUUUCCAACCUCGUGGUACUCGUGAUGGACAUUUGAACGGCAACCUAGUUUCAGCUUCCGACCUCGUCAUGGACUUCUCACUGGUGGCCUAAAUCCGAAUCCCGACCUCAUGAUGGAAAUUUCAACGGCAGCCAAAUUCCACUUCUGAACCUCAGAAUGGGCAUGAUUUCAACUCGACUACCCACUACACUUCUGACCUUAACCAGAUUGACUUGUCAGCGUGUAAUCCCUUGUAGCAACGGAUCGUGAAUAUUCAUCCCUUUAGAUUGCCUGUUAAACAUCUACAGACUGACCGAAGGCAGAACAAUGGCCAGUGCUGAUGGUAUGGGGCUUCAAAUCACAAGAAAAUGUGCUCCAGCGUGUCAACAUCUGCCAGUCAGUCCAUCUCGCAGAUUUCGAGGAAAGAUGAGAAGAAAUCAAAGAAAUCGUCCCGGAAAUCUAAAUCAAGAAGGGCCAGCUCGAGCAGUAUCUCAUCCUCGUCUACUGCAAUUUCUCGUGAAUCUAGCUCUUCACCCUCCACAUUACAGUCAAGUCGGAAAAGAAAACAUCGUAGCAAAGGUAAAAAAUAUCUUUCAAAGAAAAGACCGUCAAGAAAGUACAACAGAUCCCGUUCCCGAAGCCGAUCAACAUCAACAGGGGCCCCAAGGAUGCUCUAGAGUAUCUUUACAGACAGAGUAUGGCCAUUUUGGUUCCGGUUUUUUAUUGGUCGCAAGCAAAUAGGCUGACACGAUGCUCUUACGGCCGUUAAUAAAGAAACAAGAUGGCUGUUAUCAGCAAGGAAGUUUGAGGUUAUGCAAAUCGUAUAUCCUCGUGUGAUAAAGGCAUAAGGCAAAGGCGAUUUAACAGUGUUUUUGUGUUAUUCGUGGAUAUGCUAGUUUUUCGAAGAGAGAGUCUAAGUUUAAUAAAUUCAUUUAAUUGUUUCAACGUAUUGUUUUCCAUUCCACUCAAAGUUACCUGCUAUUUUUUAUUACAUACUAUCUAACUGUUCCUUCAGUUUCAAUUUUUCCGUCCGACUCCCUUCUUUUUUUUAAAUAAACUAUUUCUUUAAUUUGUAUGUACAAAAUUCUGUCCUUUUUCUGUGCUUGCUUUUGAUUUCAUCUUCUCAACUUGGGGGGGGGGGUCCUACUCACCUGAAAGCUCAAAUAUAAACGCCAUCUAUGACUUCUGGAGAAAAAGGAACCCGAACACCGUUUAGGUCCCUCCCAGCCAUGGAAGGCCAGCCACAAGAAUGUGAGGAAGGACAGAACCGUGGCGCUAGGCGUCGCAGCCGGCCUGCUGUGCAGGCGACAGAGCAGCGACCCGCCCUGCGAUGGCAGAUAGGCCUAGCGCAGACCCGGUCCGCGUCUCAAGUAAGGCAAAUGCCAGGUGGGCUAGUCCUCUGCGAGGGAGCCCCCUUAGGUUAGAUAAGGAAACGACCUGUGGAAUAACCACCAGAAACGAUCGAUGAGGUCCCAAAAUCAGAACUUAAACCUGCCAAGGCAGUGUAUAAAAACUGGCCAGGACCAAACCAAAUAAAUUAAAAAGGAAGUCUAGUCAACUCCCCUUCCCCUAGUAUUGGAUAUUUUAGACUAGACUGCCGCUAAUGCGGCAACCCAACCCUGACAGCACGGUAAGAAAAGAAAAAGACCCAUGACUACCCCGGAAAAAGGACAUCAAUCAGUCUGAUGCCAAAGCAUCGGGCUAAAGGAGCUAAGGACGGGAGCACCCCGAGGGACAGCCCGUCCAAAAACCCCGACAUAUUUUCUUCCGGAAAACGUUCCCAUUAAGAGCCAAUCCACCCAACAAAGUAAAGUUAAAGAUACCUUCCCCCCACCCCCACCCAUACCAUCUAAAUGUAACCAAUCCUUAAUAAAAAUGUGUGUAAAGUGUAUCACACCAAAAACACUUCCGUGUAAAAAUGACCCGCCAAGCUAAAAAUAUAAAUAUUCGUCGCGUCAAAUGCAAUGAUAUCACAAGAAGUAGACGCCAAGCAAAUUUCCUGAAUAUAAAUUGUAAGUUUCUUCUCCCUUCAACAUUAUUACCGGAAAAACUAAAAUUAUAGACAAAAAAAAUAAUUUAAA
rnacentral:lncRNA from 1 species